GAUGAACGCUGGCGGCGUGCCUAAUACAUGCAAGUCGAGCGAACAGACGAGGAGCUUGCUCCUCUGACGUGAGCGGCGGACGGGUGAGUAACACGUGGAUAACCUACCUAUAAGACUGGGAUAACUUCGGGAAACCGGAGCUAAUACCGGAUAAUAUAUUGAACCGCAUGGUUCAAUAGUGAAAGACGGUUUUGCUGUCACUUAUAGAUGGAUCCGCGCCGCAUUAGCUAGUUGGUAAGGUAACGGCUUACCAAGGCAACGAUGCGUAGCCGACCUGAGAGGGUGAUCGGCCACACUGGAACUGGGACACGGUCCAGACUCCUACGGGAGGCAGCAGUAGGGAAUCUUCCGCAAUGGGCGAAAGCCUGACGGAGCAACGCCGCGUGAGUGAUGAAGGUCUUCGGAUCGUAAAACUCUGUUAUUAGGGAAGAACAAAUGUGUAAGUAAAUAUGCACGUCUUGACGGUACCUAAUCAGAAAGCCACGGCUAACUACGUG
rnacentral:rRNA from 1 species